rnacentral:tRNA from 1 species
CCUGGGUGGCUCAGUUGGUUGAGCGUCUGCCUUCGAAUCAGGUCAUAAUCUUGGAGUUUGUGGGUUCGAGCCCCGCCAUCAGGC